CAGGCUGAACAAGCUGUGAAGGUGCACCUCGUUAGUGCAGCACAGGCCCAGAGGAGCUCAUUAGCCUCCUUCCUGGCCAGUGGGAGGCCAUGCUCCUUCACAGUAACAGAUAAACUCAUGAAUGACAUCAGUUAUUGUUCAUCUAGAGGUGCCUUCUUUACCCUCUCAAGCACAGGAACGUUUUAUUGCAGAUCCCAAUUCAGACUUCCUUCGCAGAAGCUGCUGAGUCCUGCUUCCUCUGGACUCAUUUCAAAGCCACUUUCCCAGUAGCCUGGACUCAUACAGUCCCCAGUGCCACUGGAUGAUCUCUGGUGUCUUGAGACCCCAUUCCUGGCACCUUCACUGAGAUGCCGGAACAACCCACCUCCAGCCAGCUGGAUUCAACUCUCCCCUCCAACAGUCCUCACUCAGCUGCUAGCAUUUGAACAGACAUUCCAUGGUGGCUCCUAGCAACCAAAUGGGCCUUUACAGAAUCCCCCGAUGUUAAAUCACCAUCUCGUAGCCAACCACAGGUUUUACAUCCCGCACCCCAUAUGUAAAAUAACAUUAGGUAAACGCAUUACCUAACAUUCUCCACAAGUGUGAUUAUUGAGCAAUACUCUGCCUCCGGCUUUGGGUGUAAGAGCCCCUGGAAGAACCUGGGUAGGUGUUGCAAGAGUUACGGUCCCAUACUGUUUUUGUGCUGACCUCAUUUACAAGGUCCUUCCCAUGAGAAAUUAUAGCACAGCCACAGGCAACUCAGUAGUAGGGCUCUCAGUUUUUCCAUUGCCCUGAUUUUUUACAAGGAACUUCAAAGGGUCUCCCAUAAGGAGCAUAAUUAAAGACUGAGAGCCUUGUGUUGGUUCACAGUGCUCUGGCUGUACUUGUUCCAGUGAUGUCAUGCCACACUCCAGGCUCUUCACUGAAAGACCCCUCCGGGUGCUUUCCUCCUGGAAUCUGACUCUUCUCUAGAGUGGAACAUGCAGCUCAGCUCUCUGUACUCCACAAAGCACCCCAGAUUGCCUUGUAUUAUUUAAAUGGGCAGUGCUCAUCCCUCCUGCCCAUAGAAAUGAACCACAGCAUUCAGUGAAAACACUCUGUAGUUUACAUGACAUAUGUGGGAUCUCUGAGGAUUUGUUUGAUUUGCUGCAUGUGAGCCCAGAAAUUUUGAAGAGUCAAGUGUUUUCCCCCUAAUUGUUGCUAACGGGGUGUUUUGCCCCAGCUGGGUGAAUGUGGACCCAUUCCUUUUAUCUGUAGGCAUGUCUGCCCAGCCACUCCCUAAAGAACAUUGCUCGUUGCUGCCCUCACCUGCCUCAGGCAGCAGUUUAUAUUUGCAGGUUAGUUCAAAGGGGAAAUACCAUGAACCCCCUUUUUAUGGAACUGUCUUCUUUUCUCUUACUCAGGGAGCUUCUUUCCUGUGCUUUACUACUCUCUAGAACAGCCUGAUUUAACAAAGAGGUAAGAGAACCUCUCUCCAUGAGACACUCAGCUCAAAAUGUACAAACUUGAUGGCUAAAUCCAUACCUGAGCAGCUAAAUAAAAGCCGGAGGGCCUUUUCCACAGUGUUGAAUGUGGACUUAGUUAGGAGCUAGAGGUACUCAGUUCCUCUGAAAAUCAGGUCACUGAUUUUGGUCCCUAAAGAGGUAUGUAAGUGCCUAACUUUAUUCAGCCAGGUUGGAAAGUGUUGGUCUAGGAAUGGAAAAUUGAGAUACUGGCUGCCAAAAGUGAGUGUUAGAAAAUACAGAGUAUUCUGAAGUUUGUAUGGAAGUCAACAGGGGAAUGCAGAUAAGAGCUGUAGGUGUGGAGUAGAAUCUGGACACUUAGGGCUUGUCUUCACAGGGAAGUUAGUGCAGAGUAGGUUAGGGUGUGAAUUUACAGCACACUAGUUUCUCCACGUGAACUCCUGUGAUGGGGUGAACCAGGCCCUCUGAAGCCGUCUGCUGAAAGCUUUCUGGUCUUGCCACACCUUGUCUCAGAAAGGAGCAGUGGAGGUAAGUCCUCCAAGCUGCAUAGAGAGGUUGCAGGAGAAACAGCCAAUCAGAGAGAGGCUGUGAGGAGCAGCCAAUCAGGGCCCAGCAGGCUCACAUAAAAGGAGCUGGAGGGCCAGAGACAAUCAGUUGCUGCCUAGAGCCAGAGGAGCAAGGAUGGUGUUCCUGGCUGGCUGUCUGAAGAAGUGGCAGGACUGUGAAUAGAGCAGUUGCUGGCAGAGACCAGAGGAGCAAGAAGGAGCUCCUGGCUGGCUGCUGGGACUGAGUACAAGACGUCAGCCCUACGGAUCCCUGAAAGAAGGGUGAACCUAGAGAGACCUUGGAGCCUGGGAGGAUAGUCAUGAAGCCCUGAGACAAGGGGGUACCUGAGAAUCUGGGCCCAGAGUCAGGGGCCAAAGACCUGACACAAUGUCGUUGGACUUCUGUUUAUUGGCGUUUAUUGUUACAUCAGAAGGGCUGAGACUUUCCAGUGACCUGAUGGGAGGGCUGAGUCAUGAGAAGAGAUAGACUACUGCACAAUCGGAGUGGCUGUUGGCAGGGGAGUGCUAGAUGAGGCAAAUCUGCUACACCACACCCUGCCAUGGGUGGAGACACCAACGGGGAGUUCACUCUUCUGCAAAGUGGUUGCUAUGUGGAAUAGCCCUGUGUGAUGACCUUGAGCUAAGACCACCUGGGAGAAGUCAGACUCUCGAUCUUUCCUGGGCUUGUCUGCCCUAUUUAUGGGCCAGGCAAGGAAGAGUUAAAGGCCUGGAAAAUCAAGGCAGCUGGAAUAUGUCAGUCUACCAGGCCCAGCUGCUUCACUUGCUAAGGAGGAAGAGGAAGACAGCAGCAGAGUGAGGAAGACGCUACCCUGGCCAGAGGGGAGAGUGGGCUGUUCAGACUGAGUAUUUUGAGAUUAUUUGUUUCCUGGAAGGGCAGCUCUUUAUUUUGGGUAUGUAAGAGCUCACAAUGUGACACUCCUGAAGAAACCCAAGGCAAUCUGAUUGGGUAGUAUGUGUGUAGUAUUCUGUUUAUGAGCAAAGAUUGAGGGCUUCAUAAAUACAACAUGUGAGUGGUAUUUGUUCUGGAGGAAAGGUGGAAGGGAAAUUGAAGUCACUGAAAGAGAGAUUCAGGAACCCCAAUCAGAUUGUGACCAAAGGGAAUGGUCACCAGAAGAUUCUUUUGAUGGGACAGAGGUGGAGAAUGAAGGAAGAUGGAGGGAUAUGAAUGGGCAAACCUUAAUUCUGGUAUUAACUAACUUUUGCAUGUUUGACUUUGAAACCUUAAUGUUCUUUUAAUGUAAAUUUUUUGGAUGUAGUUUUCUGAGGUUUUUAUUAGAGCAUAAGCCUUCCAGUCAUUUGUUCGGAUACAGACUAACACGGAUGCUACUCUGAAACCUAAGGUUUUUAUAAAACUUUAACAUUUUUUAAAAAAAAAUCACAUGGAAACAGAUUGAUCCCUGCCACGGGGUCCACUCAUCACGGGUGGUGCCUCCUCCUGGCUGCUCUGGGGAUUAGUUCUUUCCAGGCCCAAGACCCUCUUCUGCUGCUCACUGCACACCCUGCUGCUGCGGUCUCUCACUCUCUGUGGCUCAGGGUGUUCCCUCUCUGUGACUUGGCCCUCCUGCCAGGUCAUUGUGCAUGUUUCCCCCUUCUGGGGUGGAGCCCAUGGUUCCCCUAACCCCUGUCUCUGUCUUUACCCCGGUCUUCUCCUUCCCCCAUUCCUCAAUCUUGCUCCUAUCCCCCUCUGGUCUUCUUCCCUCCUCUGUCUCUGACUCUUCCCCCUUGUUUUUGCCUCUGUCCCCCCUUCUGGUUCCUGUUCCCACCCUUAUCACCACAAACCCCCCUCACCCCGCUGCAUUUGAAUAAGGGGCUUUCUUCCUUCCCCUCUUCCUCCUCACUGUCCGGACACCAGCAGGGAGGCAUUGAGAGCACAGGAGAGAUGGUGCCCCUGAUUUCCUCUGGUCCAGUGUCUGACAUCACAACAAUCUCUGGAAGCCAGGACAGGAAAUCACAGGGAAAGUCCUGCUUGGCCUCUGCAGGCCAGGGUGGAGCACACUCCAUCACUUUGUGGGAAUGGUUCAUUCACAGUCUGGGUGUACAUAGGAGCAGGGAGAGGAUGGAGCAUGCUCAGUGCAGGUUGAAUCUUUGGAGAAUUUAGCUGCACAAAUCUAACGGGUCUCAACUGAGUAUGGGCAAACAGAUUUUUCAAAGACUUAAAAUUUGACCAAAUUUGGGUGGUUUGUCACAGGAGUGGCAAAAGACACAUCCCUGGCACCAUUGCAUUUCCUCCUGCCAAUUUCAUGUCCCUGCUCCAAAGCAGAGUGGCACUGGAGUUUUUCAACCCAAUGAUUGUAAAAAAACAAUUAACAUGGACAAAACAAUGCGUUUCCGCCCUUGUUAGUUGAAAUGCCUGAACCACUUUAUCUGACAUUUAAAGUGAGCCUGAGACACACACCUGAUACGGAAGAUUUCAGCCUAAAUGGUUCAUGUCUGGCAAAGUUAUAAGCCACUGAAACAUGGUCUUAUAAUAGAAAAUGGUGGGCACCCUUCAGUACAGUGUCUCUACCUGCGCCACCCACAGUAUUCAUAAAUUCAUAGAGUUUCAGGCCAGAAAGCACCAUUAGAUCAGCUAGUCUGACCUCCGGUACUGCACAGGCCAUUAUGGGUUUUCAUUUCACCCAGUUAUUCCCAUGUUGAGCCCAAUAACUUGUGAGCAUAUCUCCCAGAAAGGCAUCAGCAAGUCUUGAUUUGAAACAUCAAGAGCUGGGGAAUCUACCACUUCCCUAGGGAGUUUGUUCCAAUGGUUGAUCAUCCUCUCUCGCACAAGUUUGCAUCUUCUUUCUAAUUUGCAUUUAUCUGGCUUCAGAUUCCAGCCAUUUGUUCUGCCUUGCUCUACUAGUAUUUUCUUUCCAUCCUCUCCCCCCUUCAUAAAGUGCGAACAUGGCAUCAGAGCUUUUUUGUUUUCCUUUUUUAAGGAAAAAAAAAAGGCGGGGGGAUUUUUUUACUAGGUUUUUACUAGUUUUGUCACUUUCCCUCCUCCCCUCCCAUCUGGUCUUUUUACCCUGAUGCUGAGCUGUAAAUGGGAAUCAGGCCUGUUAAGUCCCAACUUUCCUGUUGUUGCUGCAGGACAGGCAGCAUGGGGUGGGAUAAUGAUCUCACAGUAACUUGAAAGCUGAGCUGUGGGGUUGCCAACCAGUUUGUGAUGUCAUGUCCCACAGGUGUGCUAAUCCUCCUGCAGAAAUUAGCACCUACAGACUAACAUGGAAAGUCCAUUUCCCAAACAUGAUCCACAUGUUGGGUUUUGCACCAGGAAUGAAACACUGCAGGGAAUUGUCCUUGAAAAACAGACCCAGCCCCAGAGUCCUCAUACUGUAGUGUGGGGGCAUCGCCACCCUCUGAGAUUGACCGGGAGGAAUUGGAGGGCAAAGCCAGCACACCCCCACCCACCACGCCGGAAGCAGACGGGUGGGACAGGAAGUAUAAAAGACUGGCCCAGCUGAUCAGUCAGGCUGGAGCUGCCAAAGGUGACAGACACCUCCCACCCACCAUUGAGGCUGGAGCCUGAAGAGGACCCCUUUAGUGCUGAGGACGGGCCAGAGCUGCCUGAACUGCCUGCCGCCAGAGAAGCCAAGCAGCUGCUGGGACUGCUGCUGGCGGUGUACCCCGAGGAGAUGGAGGACAAUCCUCAGGUACAGGUACACUCUGAGGGGGAGUGUAGGAAGUAGCCCAGGGAUACCAGACUAUAGUCCAGUUGUGUUGUUGCCUGAAUAUAGGUCAGCGUGUUUUGGGCAGAUCCCUGCGGACCCAGUGGUGGAACACUCCACCACUGUUAGGGCCCUGGAGUGGGACCUAGUGGAGUAGGGUGGGCCCAGGUCCCCCUACCUCCUGCUGCCAACCCCACCUUUGAGGUGGCAGCCUCCCCACCUUAGGCCAGGAGGCCUGCAUUUGUCUGCCAUCUGCCAGAGCUAGGAUAUCAGACUGGUGCUGUGCCCUGCUUGUGGGCCUGAGACCCCUAGAUUCUUUGGCGCUGUGCCCUGCUGCAGUCAGUGCCCUGAACUACCUGCCGCAUAGCCCUGCUUAGAGGGCCCAGGGCCUAAGAGACUGCUAAUCCCCCCCUCUAAUCUUUGCCUAGAGAGGGGUCUGAGCAUGAGGGGGCAUGGCCACCCUCUGAGAUUGAGGAGGAGGAACAGCCAUGCACUCCUACCAUGUGUCUGUUUCCUGGAAAUGUAGGGUUGUUCCUGCCACCCCCUCCUUUGGUUGAGGAAAGAGGGUGCUCAGGAGCCACAGCUCACCUUGGCAGUGGGAUUGUUUAGUCUGUCUCCCACAUUCUGCCUGUUGUUAGUUGCUGCCUCUGCCUGUGCUGGGAUAUGUAAGCCCCACACUGGGGAACCAAGGGUUAAUAAGCAGCGCUGUGCUCAGAAGGCCCCACCUCAGGUGCACUCACAAUGGAGGCAGAGCUCAGAAAGGAGCAGCCUGGCUGAGUCAGGGCAGGCAGAGAAGGGAGCAGUCCUAAGCUGGUAUCUCCUGCAGAGAGGCUAUGGGAGCUCCAUACUGCCUGGACCGGACCCCGCUGCUGAGCCAGCAGAGGCCCCAUGGAGACUGGGAAUAGAGAGCCGCAAUUGGAGAAGAAUCUCUGGAUGAUGGCCAGGAGGACACCCGCCCCCGCACCCGUGAGUCCAUAAACUGGCCCCUGCUGUGACUUUGGAGGGGCAGAGGCUGUGGGAGGAAGCACGAGCAGGAGUGUGUGAGAGGGGAGGGCUCCUGCCUCAUACUGAGAAUGAGGGGCGAUCAGCGGGUUAUCUCAAGUGCCUAUAUA